CCAUUUCAACUCAAUCCAUUUCAAUCCAAAGUAAAUUUGGGCGGGUCAUGACCCAACUCAGUAUCCAAUUCAACUCAUUUAAUAUUUUCAGUCUCAACCCAACCCGUCCAUUUGACACCCCUAGUCAAGGGGUAGGGGUUGGUGAUGUUAAAUAGAGGACAUAAUAAAUAUAGAAUGUCACUUAUAGAACUUGUUUUUCCUACUUCUAUUAAUAAAAUUAUUUUCCUCAUUUUUAAGGAACUUGUUUUACCAGCCAGGUUCUUCCGACUAACUUUUUGGAAAGAAUGUAGUUGAUUGAGAAGGCAGAGAGUAGUGUUAGUGUUGUCAUGUGGUUCGUUAUAUUGAAGUGUUAGUAGUGAUAUAGUAACGAUGGUGAUCUAUUUCUUUUAUUUUUCAGGAAAGUUGGUAAAUGUGUAGGAUUUGAAAAAUCUUCAAUUUAUGAUGUACAUUAAUAUACCCUCUUGAACUAUCUAUCUAUAGCAAAGUAGCUUCCGGAUACUAGAAAUGGACUCACCUUUGCAAGCUAAAUAUGAAGAUCUCGUCACUUGCUUCAUCUUCGAGAAAAUUAAUGGCCCAAAACAAACGUAUACGGAAUUCAUCAUUGAAGAGAGCUUCCAGAGGCAACAUUUAAGGAUUACGUUAGGGAAGUCACAAUUAGCAAACCCUACUAUAGGGCAUUUUUAUAGUUGGGGAAGACCCAUUGGUGGAUCGGGUCUUGACUCUUCAGAUAUCUUUUUAUUUUCAUUUUUUGGGCUCACUUGAGUAAUUUUGUACAAACAUUACAUCUUUUAUUUAAUAAAACGGGUCAGGCCCAAAGUUAAUUUAAAAAAAAACUAUAUAUCUCAAAAAUUCUUGUUAUCUUUGAUUCUGAUGACGUUCAAACCCUCUUCUCAAAAAGAAGAAAGUAUACACAGUCAUCAUAAUAUAAUUGUCACACCCCUUUUUUCAACUCCCAAAAAGAAUUAGAUUUUAAAGUUUCAAAAGGAUUUUUAUUAUUAGGUGACAAAAGAUGAACAUUUGUAUCGAAAAAGGAUUAUUUAUAUUUCUAUUCAGAGUCGCCACUUGACAUAAUCCGGUGUGCCAAGUCACCUUUGGAAAAUACUUUUCAAAAUGAUUUGACUCUUUAAACUAGUUUGUGAACAGAGAUUUCGGCUAAGGAAUUCUGUUGACCGAGGGGAAGGUGUUAGGCACCCCUCGAUCCCGUGGUUCAAUCACGGUCGCUUGGUGGAGCAUAUCGGCUAAUUUGAUACUACAAAAUGUAUAAACCACACAUAACACACGAAACAAGCAAAUAAACAAUCAAACAAAUUCAAAACCAAAAUAAUGUCCAGUUCGAAUUAUACAGUCUCAAGGAUAGAAAUACAAAAAUAUAAAUCCUAUUCUAGAGUAAUCCUAAACUAUGCUCCAAUGCUUAUCCGAUGUCUCGGGCCUUCAUCACGAACGUCUUCCACCAACAUAAUACAUCAGGGCAUUCCCCGGUGAAUAAAUACAAUGUGUCUUGGGGCAUUCCCUGACUCCAAAUGCGAGAAAGACAAACCAUUUCACAAACAUUCCAAACACAUAUUUAAACAUUCAACACAUUCAAUCAACACACCACUCCUAAAUUUUACCUACCCGAACCUAAACAUUUUACCUAUCCAAUGCGACCUAUCAUGAUACUAUAGAAUUUACAAACUUCAUUCCGAAUUAAGCAAAACAACAAAGAACCAACAUUAAACCAAAUUUACCCUUUUAUCAAUCUCGCAAUUCCACCCCAAAUUCUCUUCUCAACACUAAAUUUCCACAAUUCACAAUUUCUAUUUCAACAAUCCACAAUCACUUUUCAACAAAAAUUAAGCAACAAGUCAAUAUCAAAGUAGCAAUUUAUCACCAACCAUGAUCAAACAACACACGAGAUUCCAUCCAAUGCACCAUAUUCCAUCAAUAAUGAAAAAAAAAAAGGAAAAGAGUAGAAAUGGACCUCAAUCAUGAUUUUAUUUCAAAUAUAAAUCAAUCGAAAAGAUGACUCUGCAUGACGAAGAACCCCGAAUCAGCCUUGAAGAAUACCACAACUCAACUAUGAACCAACUCCAACACGAAAAUCUUCGAAACCCGAUCCAAAUACAACACCAGUGUUAAAUUGUUUAGAAUCGCUUUUAAAAAAACAUGUUGAUGGUGCUACUAUUGUUCACUUAUUUCCGAUAGUAUCUCCUAAAAAUUAGAAAGAAACGAUGAGUUAUGUUGGGUUUUCGGCACGGGAUGAGUUAACUCGAACGGAUGGUGCUAAUUUCGGAGAGAAUCUUGUUGGGAAAACUUGAGAAUCCCUUUAUCUCUGGUUUUCUCACACUCUGACCAGUGCUAUCUUUCACUCUCCUUGUUUUCUCAAUUUCUCUCUCAAUAGAUCUCUCCCACUCCUAUCUUAGUCUCUUCGGUCACCUCACUCCUCAAUUUCCCUAUACCAGUCUAUGUGUCCCCAGAUAUCAUGAGGUUGGUGAGUAUAUCCGUGAGCCAGAAGAAAUAAAAGAUGAUGAGUGGAAGAAUGAAGUAUCUUGCUGUGAUGAUAUAAGAUGGAGAAGAUGAAGUUGAUGGUGUCCCCCCUCUGUAUUGUUACUGUGAGUGUAUAUAUGAAUUGGGGAAUUCCCUGUGGGGCCC
rnacentral:lncRNA from 1 species